rnacentral:rRNA from 1 species
CACGGGGAGGUAGUGACGAAAAAUAACGAUACGGGACUCAUCCGAGGCCCCGUAAUCGGAAUGAGUACACUCUAAAUCCUUCUACAAGGAUCAAUUGGAGGGCAAGCCUGGUGCCAGCAGCCGCGGUAAUUCCAGUUCCAAUAGCGUAUAUUAAAGCUGUUGCGGUUAAAAAGCUCGUAGUCGAAUUUGUGUCUCGCGCCGCUGGUUCAUCGCUCGCGGUGUCAAACUGGCGUGUCUCGCGGGACGUCCUGCCGGUGGGCUCUUCGAAUUGAUUGCUUCGGCGGUCGUUCGUGGCCCUACUUGUGCUCGCCUUCGUGCGGGUGCGAAUCCCAUCGCGGUGCUCUUUAUUGAGUGUCGAGGUGGGUCGGCACAUUUACUUUGAACAAAUUAGAGUGCUUAAAGCAGGCCAAUUUUGCCUGAAUAUUGUAUGCAUGGAAUAAUGGAAUAGGACCUCGGUUCUAUUUUGUUGGUUUUCGGAACCCCGAGGUAAUGAUUAACAGGGACGGAUGGGGGCAUUCGUAUUGCGACGUUAGAGGUGAAAUUCUUGGAUCGUCGCAAGACGGACAGAAGCGAAAGCAUUUGCCAAAAACGUUUUCAUUGAUCAAGAACGAAAGUUAGAGGUUCGAAGGCGAUCAGAUACCGCCCUAGUUCUAACCAUAAACGAUGCCAGCUAGCGAUCCGCCGACGUUCCUCCGAUGACUCGGCGGGCAGCUUCCGGGAAACCAAAGCUUUUGGGUUCCGGGGGAAGUAUGGUUGCAAAGCUGAAACUUAAAGGAAUUGACGGAAGGGCACCACCAGGAGUGGAGCCUGCGGCUUAAUUUGACUCAACACGGGAAACCUCAUCAGGCCC